UUCUCAUGGUGCAUCGAUGCCUCUAUAUGUAUUUCAAGAAUCUAUCAGUUUGUCUUUAUUUUCUUAUCAAGAAAAUGUUACUUCAAAAAUGGAUUCAUGUUUAUUAAUUGAAUUAGAGUGCUAAAUCUUAGUUAAAAAAUAUGAUGUACUAGUGAGGGAGAUGAUGUUUCUUCUGAUUGAUUGUCUUUCUUCUUAGAACUUAUUGUAAUCAUAUCUAGUUUUUGAAUCUAAUGCAAUCACAAAAUUUCGAGAAUUCUAAUUAGUUUGAUAAACGAAUUAGACCAACAAUACUGAUCUACUGUCCAUGGUCAGCAGGAGAUAUCUCGUGCCGAAACAAAAAUGAUGGUUUGCUAUCGAUUUUUAGAUCGAAUCAACCAUUG
rnacentral:lncRNA from 1 species